CAGCCGCCGCGGUAAUACGUAGGUGGCAAGCGUUGUCCGGAUUUAUUGGGCGUAAAGCGAGCGCAGGCGGUCAAUUAAGUCUGAUGUGAAAGCCCCCGGCUCAACCGGGGAGGGUCAUUGGAAGCUGGUUGACUUGAGUGCAGAAGAGGAGAGUGGAAUUCCAUGUGUAGCGGUGAAAUGCGUAGAUAUAUGGAGGAACACCAGUGGCGAAGGCGACUCUCUGGUCUGUAACUGACGCUGAGGCUCGAAAGCGUGGGUAACAAACAGGAUUAGAUACCCGCGUAGUCCCUGUCUCUUAUAC
rnacentral:rRNA from 1 species